UACGGGGGGAGCAAGCGUUGUUCGGAUUUACUGGGCGUAAAGGGCGCGUAGGCGGCGCCGCAAGUCGGUUGUGAAAUCUCUGGGCUUAACCCAGAAAGGUCAACCGAUACUGCGGGGCUAGAGUGCAGAAGGGGCAACUGGAAUUCUCGGUGUAGCGGUGAAAUGCGUAGAUAUCGAGAGGAACACCUGCGGCGAAGGCGGGUUGCUGGGCUGACACUGACGCUGAUGCGCGAAAGCGUGGGGAG
rnacentral:rRNA from 1 species